AUCUGCACCCGCCACCCAUCUUCUUUCCACCGUGCCUACACCAGGAGCGCUCUGAGCCAGCAGACCACUGGGAAAAUGGGAGAAGAGGGGUCUGUAAUCUAAGAAAGGUGGUCUUUGUCACCAAUGCUGGUGUCAAGUCAUUGGGUGUCCUCCUACCUUACGUGACAGAGAGCUACAACUGACACGAAUUCUCCUAAAAGCAAAAGCAAGUGGGUGUUACUGUCACUUACUGGUUAAAAAUCUCACAGUGGAGGGAACUCCUUUGUUCUUUUCAUGCUCUUCCCCUUAGAGAACAAAGCUGGGGCCCCCUGUAUCUAACCAGCCUCUCCGUUCAUGGCCUUCAGUCUACUCAUGAUUUGCAAAGAGAAAAAGAAAAGACAGCACCAAACCAGACUAAACAAACAAACAACAAAGACACCAACCAACACCGCAGCCCCCGGGCUCUCUCUCUGGUCCCGUCAACAUUUACGACAAUUUACUUCGGAAAAAAGAGCCACUGUGGAGACUCAGCUCUACCUUGUGCUCCAGGCUGGAGUCUUUAAACAUCAGUGAGAAUGGCUUGAUAUGCUCUCUUCUCAAUUUAUCGCCACUCCGCAAGUCGAUGCCAAGGAAUGGUCAAUGAGACCUUACUGCAGGAGAGGUCUCCGUGGUAUCGCCGUGGGAAGAGGUUUAAGUUAUUUUCGUAAGCUCGUAGCUUCUGCUCCAAGAAAUGAAAUAACAAGGGGCAGAACUCUGCUGAAAAAACAGUCCAGAUGUUUCCAGCCGGCCUGUGUGGGAUUCCAGCAACCGUCUGUAACCUGGUUCCCAAACUUCAAUCGAGCACACGAGCCCUGGAACUUCACGGAAAAGAAGCGUGAUUAGUCAAAGUUAAUGGACCAAAUUGCCUACUUAAUCCACUCAACGCUCCCUGAAGGCUUCAAAUCCACUUGCCUGUCUGAACAGAGUGAAAAACCAGACCCCUUUAAUGACUCUCCCGGGCUGAACUCAGCGGCUGUCUUCCAAGUCAGGGCUAAGGGCUGCCUGGGGAGAUGUGUUGUGGGAAAAAGCCCUGUUACCAGAAGAACGCAGGUGCACUGGGGGGAAACGGACCGAGCCCUCCGUGUUCUCUAUCCAAAAAGCCUGCAGCUGUCCCAUCCAGUGAACAUCAAAACUUAAUCUGAUGUCAAAAUGGUUAAAAAUAAAUUACGGAUGGAGAAAAAUUCACCUGUGAUUUCCUGCAUACAAGAUUGAAUACGGACGAUUAGAUUUUCAGCAGCCUACCCCAGAAGCAGUAAGGUCUGAGAAUACACCGUCUUCUUUCUCUUCAAAACCAAGGCCCAAGAUUUUGGGCAUGUUUAGGAGGAGGAGUUUCAGG